GAUGAAGAACGCAGCAAAAUGCGAUAAGUAAUGUGAAUUGCAGAAUUCAGUGAAUCAUCGAAUCUUUGAACGCACAUUGCGCCCGCCAGUAUUCUGGCGGGCAUGCCUGUUCGAGCGUCAUUUCAACCCUCAAGCACAGCUUGGUGUUGGGACUCGCGUUAAUUCGCGUUCCCCAAAUUGAUUGGCGGUCACGUCGAGCUUCCAUAGCGUAGUAAUAAAACCCUCGUUACUGGUAAUCGUCGCGGCCACGCCGUUAAACCCCAACUUCUGAAUGUUGACCUCGGAUCAGGUAGGAAUACCCGCUGAACUUAAGCAUAUCAAUAAGCGGAGGA
rnacentral:misc_RNA from 1 species